GAUGAAGAACGCAGCAAAAUGCGAUAAGUAAUGUGAAUUGCAGAAUUCAGUGAAUCAUCGAAUCUUUGAACGCACAUUGCGCCCGCUGGUAUUCCGGCGGGCAUGCCUGUUCGAGCGUCAUUUCAACCCUCAAGCUCCCGGGUUUGGUGUUGGGGAUCGGCUCUGCCCUUCUGGGCGGUGCCGCCCCCGAAAUACAUUGGCGGUCUCGCUGCAGCCUCCAUUGCGUAGUAGCUAACACCUCGCAACUGGAACGCGGCGCGGCCAUGCCGUAAAACCCCAACUUCUGAAUGUUGACCUCGGAUCAGGUAGGAAUACCCGCUGAACUUAAGCAUAUCAAUAAGCGGAGGA
rnacentral:misc_RNA from 1 species